rnacentral:rRNA from 1 species
GACGAACGCUGGCGGCGUGCUUAACACAUGCCAGUCGAACGAUGAAGCCGGAGCUUGCUCUGGUGAAUUAGUGGCGAACGGGUGAGUAACACGUGAGUAACCUGCCCUUGACUCUGGGAUAACUGCGGGAAACUGUAGCUAAUACCGGAUACGACCCUCGGAGGCAUCUCCUGGGGGUGGAAAGAAUUUCGGUCAAGGAUGGACUCGCGGCCUAUCAGCUAGUUGGUGAGGUAAAGGCUCACCAAGGCGACGACGGGUAGCCGGCCUGAGAGGCUGACCGGCCACACUGGGACCGAGACACGGCCCAGACUCCUACGGGAGGCAGAAGUGGGGAAUAUUGCGCAAUGGGCGAAAGCCUGAUGCAGCAACGCCGCGUGAGGGAUGACGGCCUUCGGGUUGUAAACCUCUUUUAGUAGGGAAGAAGCGAAAGUGACGGUACCUGCAGAAAAAGCACCGGCUAACUACGUGCCAGCCGCCGCCGUAA